rnacentral:rRNA from 1 species
GACGAACGCUGGCGGCGUGCUUAACACAUGCAAGUCGAACGGAAAGGCCCUGCUUUUGUGGGGUGCUCGAGUGGCGAACGGGUGAGUAACACGUGAGUAACCUGCCCUUGACUUUGGGAUAACUUCAGGAAACUGGGGCUAAUACCGGAUAGGAGCUCCUGCUGCAUGGUGGGGGUUGGAAAGUUUCGGCGGUUGGGGAUGGACUCGCGGCUUAUCAGCUUGUUGGUGGGGUAGUGGCUUACCAAGGCUUUGACGGGUAGCCGGCCUGAGAGGGUGACCGGCCACAUUGGGACUGCGAUCCGGCCCAGACUCCUACGGGAGGCAGCAGUGGGGAAUAUUGCACAAUGGGCGGAAGCCUGAUGCAGCAACGCCGCGUGCGGGAUGACGGCCUUCGGGUUGUAAACCGCUUUCGCCUGUGACGAAGCGUGAGUGACGGUAAUGGGUAAAGAAGCACCGGCUAACUACGUG